UACGUAGGGGGCAAGCGUUGUCCGGAUUUACUGGGCGUAAAGGGCGCGUAGGCGGUGUGUCAAGUCAGGCGUGAAAGCCCCGGGCUCAACCUGGGAACCGCGCUUGAGACUGGCACGCUCGAGUUCGGGAGAGGAUGGUGGAAUUCCCAGUGUAGAGGUGAAAUUCGUAGAUAUUGGGAAGAACACCGAUGGCGAAGGCAGCCAUCUGGACCGACACUGACGCUGAGGCGCGAAAGCGUGGGGAGCAAACAGG
rnacentral:rRNA from 1 species